UACGGGGGGGGGCAAGCGUUGUUCGGAAUUACUGGGCGUAAAGGGCUCGUAGGCGGCCAACUAAGUCAGACGUGAAAUCCCUAGGCUCAACCUAGGAACUGCGUCUGAUACUGGAUGGCUUGAAUCCGGGAGAGGGAUGCAGAAUUCCAGGUGUAGCGGUGAAAUGCGUAGAUAUCUGGAGGAAUACCGGUGGCGAAGGCGGCAUCCUGGACCGACAUUGACGCUGAGGAGCGAAAGCUAGGGGAGCAAACGGG
rnacentral:rRNA from 1 species